CUACGGGAGGCAGCAGUGGGGAAUAUUGCACAAUGGGCGCAAGCCUGAUGCAGCCAUGCCGCGUGUAUGAAGAAGGCCUUCGGGUUGUAAAGUACUUUCAGCGGGGGGGAAGGGAGUAAAGUUAAUACCUUUGCUCAUUGACGUUACCCGCAGAAGGAGCACCGGCUAACUCCGUGCCAGCAGCCGCGGUAAUACGGAGGGUGCAAGCGUUAAUCGGAAUUACUGGGCGUAAAGCGCACGCAGGCGGUGUGUUAAGUCAGAUGUGAAAUCCCCGGGCUCAACCUGGGAACUGCAUCUGAUACUGGCAAGCUUGAGUCUCGUAGAGGGGGGUAGAAUUCCAGGUGUAGCGGUGAAAUGCGUAGAGAUCUGGAGGAAUACCGGUGGCGAAGGCGGCCCCCUGGACGAAGACUGACGCUCAGGUGCGAAAGCGUGGGGAGCAAACAGGAUUAGAUACCCCGGUAGUC
rnacentral:rRNA from 1 species